CCUACGGGAGGCAGCAGUGAGGAAUAUUGGUCAAUGGGCGCGAGCCUGAACCAGCCAAGUCGCGUGAGGGAAGACGGUCCUAUGGAUUGUAAACCUCUUUUGUCGGGGAGCAAAAGACGCCACGCGUGGCGUUCCGAGAGUACCCGAAGAAAAAGCAUCGGCUAACCCCGUGCCAGCAGCCGCGGUAAUACGGAGCAUGCGAGCGUUAUCCGGAUCUAUUGGGUUUAAAGGGUGCGCAGGCGGAAGAUCAAGUCAGCGGUAAAAUUGAGGGGCUCAACCUCUUCGAGCCGUUGAAACUGGUUUUCUUGAGUGAGUGAGAAGUAUGCGGAAUGCGAGGUGUAGCGGUGAAAUGCAUAGAUAUCACGCAGAACUCCGAUUGCGAAGGCAGCAUACCGGCGCUCAACUGACGCUGAUGCACGAAAGUGUGGGUAGCGAACAGGAUUAGAUACCCUUGUAGUC
rnacentral:rRNA from 1 species